AACGAACGCUGGCGGCAUGCCUAACACAUGCAAGUCGAACGAGACCUUCGGGUCUAGUGGCGCACGGGUGCGUAACGCGUGGGAAUCUGCCCUUGGGUUCGGGAUAACAGUUGGAAACGACUGCUAAUACCGGAUGAUGACUUCGGUCCAAAGAUUUAUCGCCCAGGGAUGAGCCCGCGUAGGAUUAGCUUGUUGGUGAGGUAAAGGCUCACCAAGGCGACGAUCCUUAGCUGGUCUGAGAGGAUGAUCAGCCACACUGGGACUGAGACACGGCCCAGACUCCUACGGGAGGAAGCAGUGGGGAAUAUUGGACAAUGGGCGCAAGCCUGAUCCAGCCAUGCCGCGUGAGUGAUGAAGGCCUUAGGGUUGUAAAGCUCUUUCAGUGGGGACGAUAAUGACGGUACCCACAGAAGAAGCCCCGGCUAACUUCGUGCCAGCAGCCGCCGUAACAC
rnacentral:rRNA from 1 species